rnacentral:rRNA from 1 species
UACGAAGGGGCUAGCGUUGUUCGGAAUUACGUGGGCGUAAAGCGCGCGCAGGCGGUCUUCCAAGUCAGUGGUGAAAGCCCGGAGCUCAACUCCGGAACUGCCAUUGAAACUGUUGGACUUGAGUACGAGAGAGGUGAGUGGAAUUCCCAGUGUAGAGGUGAAAUUCGUAGAUAUUGGGAAGAACACCGGUGGCGAAGGCGGCUCACUGGCUCGUAACUGACGCUCAGGCGCGACAGCGUGGGAUCAAACAGG